GAAAGUUGAGGAGAUUAUUUUUGCUGCAUUUAGGUCAGAGAUUAGACAUUAGCUAGCCUACUUGGUUAGUUAGCUACUGCAAACAAGAAUUUCCAUGGUUUCUAAGAGCAUAAUUUACUCCUUUUACUAAAAACACAUUUUUUGACCAGAAUAUGCACCAAAAUAAAUUCUGAACAGGUAGAAAAUUCAUGCGAGUGUUCUUUAUAUGCAUGUAUGAACCUUACUCUUUACACUUGAGACAUUUGUAACAAGAAAAUUAGUUUGCAGAUUCCAUCUUUAACCAUGAGGGGAGUUAUUCUAACCUGGCCCUAGAUCAGCUGCUUGAGUCAACUUUAGUCCUCCUCCACAACUCACAAAGAAGGGGUCUGGUCUAGAGGUCAACCAAUUAAUCGGAGUAAUAUAAUCAUAUAAUCAAUGCGGUGCCUGAAAUUGUGUCACUUCUCUUGCGUUCAGUGUAAGCAGAGUCAGGGUAUAUGAAGCAGUUUGUGUCGCCUGGCUCAUUGCGAACUGUGUGAAGACCAUAUCUUCCUAACAAAGACCGUAAUUCAUUUACCAGAAUUUUACAUAAUUAUGACAUAACAUUGAAGGUUGUGCAAUGUAACAGCAAUACUUAAACUUAAGGUUGCCACCUGUUCGAUAAAAUACAAAACGGUUCCGUAUUUCACUAAAAGAAUAAACGUUUUGUUUUCGAAAUGAUAGUUUCUGGACUUGACCAUAUUAAUGACCUACGGGUCGUAUUUCUGUGUGUUUAUUAUAUUAUAAUUAAGUCUAUGAUUUGAUAUUUGAUAGAGCAGUCUGAGCAGUGGUAGGCAGCAGCAGGCUCGUAAGCAUUCAUUCAAACCGCACUUUCCUCUGUUUGCCAGCAGAUUUUCACAAUGCUUGAAGCACAGCGCUAUUUAUGACUUCAAGCCUAUCAACUCCCGAGAUUAGGCUGGCAAUACUAUAGUGCCAAAAAGAACAUCCAAUAGUCAAAGGUCUAUGAAAUACAAAUGGUAUAGAGAGAGUCCUAUAAUAACCUCAAACUUCUUACCAGAAAAAAAAGGAACCACCAGCUUUCAUAUGUUCUGAGCAAGGAACUUAAACGGUAGCUUUUUUUACAUGGCACAUACUGCAUUGUCACCUUCUCCAACAUUGUUUUUGAAUGAUUUAAACCAAACUAAAUUGAACAUGUUUAUUUAUGAGACUAAAUUAUUAUAUGUAUUUUAUUAAGUAAAAAUAAGUGUUCAUUAUUCAUUGAGUUUUGUUGUAAUUGUCAUGUAAUUUGGUCCUCCACUACUCACACAGAAGGUGUCUGGUCGCCCUCCUCCACUACUCACACAGAAGGUGUCUGGUCGCCCUCCUCCACUACUCACACAGAAGGUGUCUGGUCGCCCUCCUCCACUACUCACACAGAAGGUGUCUGGUCGCCCUCCUCCACUACUCACACAGAAGGUGUCUGGUCGCCCUCCUCCACUACUCACACAGAAGGUGUCUGGUCGCCCUCCUCCACUACUCACACAGAAGGUGUCUGGUCGCCCUCCUCCACUACUCACACAGAAGGUGUCUGGUCGCCCUCCUCCACUACUCACACAGAAGGUGUCUGGUCGCCCUCCUCCACUACUCACACAGAAGGUGUCUGGUCGCCCUCCUCCGCUACUCACACAGAAGUUGUCUGGUCGCCCUCUUCCACUACUCACACAGAAGGUGUCUGGUCGCCCUCUUCCACUACUCACACAGAAGGUGUCUGGUCACCCUCCUCCACUACUCACACAGAAGGGUCUGGUCACCCUCCUCCACUACUCACACAGAAGGGUCUGGUCACCCUCCUCCACUACUCACACAGAAGGGUCUGGUCACCCUCCUCCACUACUCACACAGAAGGGGUCUGGUCACC